rnacentral:rRNA from 1 species
AGAGUUUGAUCAUGGCUCAGAUUGAACGCUGGCGGCAGGCCUAACACAUGCAAGUCGAGCGGUAGCACAGAGAGCUUGCUCUCGGGUGACGAGCGGCGGACGGGUGAGUAAUGUCUGGGAAACUGCCUGAUGGAGGGGGAUAACUACUGGAAACGGUAGCUAAUACCGCAUAAUGUCGCAAGACCAAAGUGGGGGACCUUCGGGCCUCAUGCCAUCAGAUGUGCCCAGAUGGGAUUAGCUAGUAGGUGGGGUAACGGCUCACCUAGGCGACGAUCCCUAGCUGGUCUGAGAGGAUGACCAGCCACACUGGAACUGAGACACGGUCCAGACUCCUACGGGAGGCAGCAGUGGGGAAUAUUGCACAAUGGGCGCAAGCCUGAUGCAGCCAUGCCGCGUGUGUGAAGAAGGCCUUCGGGUUGUAAAGCACUUUCAGCGGGGAGGAAGGCGUUAAGGUUAAUAACCUUGGCGAUUGACGUUACCCGCAGAAGAAGCACCGGCUAACUCCGUGCCAGCAGCCGCGGUAAUACGGAGGGUGCAAGCGUUAAUCGGAAUUACUGGGCGUAAAGCGCACGCAGGCGGUCUGUCAAGUCGGAUGUGAAAUCCCCGGGCUCAACCUGGGAACUGCAUUCGAAACUGGCAGGCUAGAGUCUUGUAGAGGGGGUAGAAUUCCAGGUGUAGCGGUGAAAUGCGUAGAGAUCUGGAGGAAUACCGGUGGCGAAGGCGGCCCCCUGGACAAAGACUGACGCUCAGGUGCGAAAGCGUGGGGAGCAAACAGGAUUAGAUACCCUGGUAGUCCACGCCGUAAACGAUGUCGAUUUGGAGGUUGUGCCCUUGAGGCGUGGCUUCCGGAGCUAACGCGUUAAAUCGACCGCCUGGGGAGUACGGCCGCAAGGUUAAAACUCAAAUGAAUUGACGGGGGCCCGCACAAGCGGUGGAGCAUGUGGUUUAAUUCGAUGCAACGCGAAGAACCUUACCUGGUCUUGACAUCCACAGAACUUUCCAGAGAUGGAUUGGUGCCUUCGGGAACUGUGAGACAGGUGCUGCAUGGCUGUCGUCAGCUCGUGUUGUGAAAUGUUGGGUUAAGUCCCGCAACGAGCGCAACCCUUAUCCUUUGUUGCCAGCGGUUCGGCCGGGAACUCAAAGGAGACUGCCAGUGAUAAACUGGAGGAAGGUGGGGAUGACGUCAAGUCAUCAUGGCCCUUACGACCAGGGCUACACACGUGCUACAAUGGCAUAUACAAAGAGAAGCGACCUCGCGAGAGCAAGCGGACCUCAUAAAGUAUGUCGUAGUCCGGAUUGGAGUCUGCAACUCGACUCCAUGAAGUCGGAAUCGCUAGUAAUCGUAGAUCAGAAUGCUACGGUGAAUACGUUCCCGGGCCUUGUACACACCGCCCGUCACACCAUGGGAGUGGGUUGCAAAAGAAGUAGGUAGCUUAACCUUCGGGAGGGCGCUUACCACUUUGUGAUUCAUGACUGGGGUGAAGUCGUAACAAGGUAACCGUAGGGGAACCUGCGGUUG